GUUGGGCAUGGUGGCUCACGCCUGUAAUCCCAGCAUCUCGGGAGGCUGAGACAGGAGGAUUUCGAGUUCAAAACCAGCCUCAGCAAUGGAGAGGCACUAAGCAACUCAGUGAGAUCCUGUUUCUA
rnacentral:sRNA from 1 species